rnacentral:rRNA from 1 species
GGGCUGCAGUGAGGAAUAUUGGACAAUGGGCGAGAGCCUGAUCCAGCCAUGCCGCGUGCAGGAAGACUGCCCUAUGGGUUGUAAACUGCUUUUAUACAGGAAGAAUAAGCCUUACGUGUAAGGUGAUGACGGUACUGUAAGAAUAAGGACCGGCUAACUCCGUGCCAGCAGCCGCGGUAAUACGGAGGGUCCGAGCGUUAUCCGGAAUUAUUGGGUUUAAAGGGUCCGUAGGCGGAUGAUUAAGUCAGGGGUGAAAGUUUGCAGCUCAACUGUAAAAUUGCCUUUGAUACUGGUCAUCUUGAGUUGUAUUGAAGUAGGCGGAAUAUGUAGUGUAGCGGUGAAAUGCAUAGAUAUUACAUAGAACACCAAUUGCGAAGGCAGCUUACUAAGUACUAACUGACGCUGAUGGACGAAAGCGUGGGUAGCGAACAGGAUUAGAUACCCUUGUAGUC